rnacentral:rRNA from 1 species
ACCAAGGCGACGAUGCGUAGCCGACCUGAGAGGGUGAUCGGCCACACUGGGACUGAGACACGGCCCAGACUCCUACGGGAGGCAGCAGUAGGGAAUCUUCCGCAAUGGACGAAAGUCUGACGGAGCAACGCCGCGUGAGUGAUGAAGGUUUUCGGAUCGUAAAGCUCUGUUGUUAGGGAAGAACAAGUGCGAGAGUAACUGCUCGCACCUUGACGGUACCUAACCAGAAAGCCACGGCUAACUACGUGCCAGCAGCCGCGGUAAUACGUAGGUGGCAAGCGUUGUCCGGAAUUAUUGGGCGUAAAGGGCUCGCAGGCGGUUUCUUAAGUCUGAUGUGAAAGCCCCCGGCUCAACCGGGGAGGGUCAUUGGAAACUGGGAAACUUGAGUGCAGAAGAGGAGAGUGGAAUUCCACGUGUAGCGGUGAAAUGCGUAGAGAUGUGGAGGAACACCAGUGGCGAAGGCGACUCUCUGGUCUGUAACUGACGCUGAGGAGCGAAAGCGUGGGGAGCGAACAGGAUUAGAUACCCUGGUAGUCCACGCCGUAAACGAUGAGUGCUAAGUGUUAGGGGGUUUCCGCCCCUUAGUGCUGCAGCUAACGCAUUAAGCACUCCGCCUGGGGAGUACGGUCGCAAGACUGAAACUCAAAGGAAUUGACGGGGGCCCGCACAAGCGGUGGAGCAUGUGGUUUAAUUCGAAGCAACGCGAAGAACCUUACCAGGUCUUGACAUCCUCUGACAACCCUAGAGAUAGGGCUUUCCCUUCGGGGACAGAGUGACAGGUGGUGCAUGGUUGUCGUCAGCUCGUGUCGUGAGAUGUUGGGUUAAGUCCCGCAACGAGCGCAACCCUUGAUCUUAGUUGCCAGCAUUCAGUUGGGCACUCUAAGGUGACUGCCGGUGACAAACCGGAGGAAGGUGGGGAUGACGUCAAAUCAUCAUGCCCCUUAUGACCUGGGCUACACACGUGCUACAAUGGACAGAACAAAGGGCUGCAAGACCGCAAGGUUUAGCCAAUCCCAUAAAUCUGUUCUCAGUUCGGAUCGCAGUCUGCAACUCGACUGCGUGAA